rnacentral:rRNA from 1 species
UGGGGAAUAUUGCACAAUGGGCGCAAGCCUGAUGCAGCCAUGCCGCGUGUGUGAAGAAGGCCUUCGGGUUGUAAAGCACUUUCAGCGAGGAGGAAGGUGGUGAACUUAAUACGUUCAUCAAUUGACGUUACUCGCAGAAGAAGCACCGGCUAACUCCGUGCCAGCAGCCGCGGUAAUACGGAGGGUGCAAGCGUUAAUCGGAAUUACUGGGCGUAAAGCGCACGCAGGCGGUUUGUUAAGUCAGAUGUGAAAUCCCCGGGCUCAACCUGGGAACUGCAUUUGAAACUGGCAAGCUAGAGUCUCGUAGAGGGGGGUAGAAUUCCAGGUGUAGCGGUGAAAUGCGUAGAGAUCUGGAGGAAUACCGGUGGCGAAGGCGGCCCCCCUGGACGAAGACUGACGCUCAGGUGCGAAAAGCGUGGGGAGCAAAACAGGAUUAGAUACCCCUGGUAGUCCACGCUGUAAAACGAUGUCGAUUUGGAGGUUGUGCCCUUGAGGCGUGGCUUCCGGAGCUAACGCGUUAAAUCGACCGCCUGGGGAGUACGGCCGCAAGGUUAAAACUUAAAUGAAUUGACGGGGUCAUAGCUGUUUCCU